CUGUCAUUUAGGAGUUAAAUCACUUUGUUUCUGUUUAUACAGCCCUAGCCACACCUCCCCUGGCUAUGAUUGACAGAGCCUGCAUGGAAAAAAAAACUGGUUUCACUUUCAAACAGAUGUAAUUUACCUUAAAUAAUUGUAUCUCAAUCUCUAAAUUGAACUUUAAUCACAUACAGGAAGCUCUUGCAGGGUCUAGCAAGCUAUUAACAUAG